UUUGGGAGCCACAUGUAAAUCACUUGACAUGCUGAGGGAAGCAGACUGGUGAGGGAGAGUGGGCAGCAAAGCACCUUUCAGGAGGAACUGCUGGGAUCAGUUUUAGAGGAACCACCAGGAAUCUCUCUGCUGCAUUCCAAAGGAAUGUAUGCCUAGUGUUCUCGUUCUCCCAGUCUGUAUUCCUGCUGGGGCUCUAUUCCUACAGAAGAGAAGCCUGAGCCUGGUGCCUAAUAGUGCCACAGCUUCUCCUGCUGUUCUCAGAACUCAGGCUCCACUGCUGGGCAGAUUUGCGAGGAGCCUGCAGCAAAAGCCAUGGCUCCCCUACAGCAGAGGAUUUUGAUCAAAGGGGGGAGAGUGGUGAAUGAUGACUACUCGCAGCUGGCUGAUGUGUACAUGGAGGAUGGAAUAGUGUGUGCAGUGGGACCACACCUGCAGCUUGGGGCACCUGCUGGGCUCCGAGUUAUAGAUGCUUGCAACAGGCUGGUGCUGCCUGGGGGGAUUGAUCCCCACACACACAUGCAGUUCCCCUUCAUGGGCACCCAAUCCAAAGAUGACUUCUACCAGGGAACAAAGGCUGCUCUAGCAGGAGGCACCACUAUGAUCAUCGACUUUGCAAUACCUCAGAAAGGCUGUUCCCUUGUUGAAGCCUAUGACACAUGGAGGAGCUGGGCAGAUCCUAAAGUCUGCUGUGAUUAUGCACUGCAUGUGGCAGUUACAUACUGGAGCAGCAAGGUCAAGGAAGAAAUGAGAAUUCUUGCUGAAGACAAAGGGGUCAACUCCUUCAAGAUGUUUAUGGCCUAUAAAGAUCUGUAUAUGGUUAAAGAUAGUGAACUAUAUGCAGCUUUUUCCCAGUGUAAGCAAAUAGGAGCGAUUGCUCAGGUCCAUGCAGAGAAUGGGGAUUUGAUUGCAGAGGGUGCAAAGAAGAUGUUAGCACUGGGGAUAACUGGCCCUGAGGGACAUGCACUGUGUCGUCCUGAAGAGGUGGAAGCAGAAGCCACACAGAGAGCAAUCACCAUAGCAAACUUAGUGAACUGCCCUCUUUAUGUAGCUCAUGUAAUGAGCAAAUCUGCAGCGAAGGUGAUAGCUAAUGCACGAAGAGAAGGGAAGGUAGUAUAUGGGGAACCUAUUGCUGCUAGUCUUGGUACAGAUGGCACUCACUACUGGCAUAAAGAAUGGCAUCACGCCGCAGGACAUGUCAUGGGGCCUCCACUGAGGCCAGACCCUUCAACCCCUGAUUUCCUCAUGAACUUACUAGCCAAUGAUGACCUAACUGUGACAGGGACUGACAACUGCACCUUCGACAUCUGCCAGAAAGCUCUGGGGAAGGAUGAUUUCACCAAGAUCCCUAACGGGGUGAACGGUGUAGAGGACAGGAUGUCUGUCAUAUGGGAAAAAGGAGUGCACAGUGGUAAAAUGGAUGAAAACAGAUUUGUAGCUGUUACCAGCACAAAUGCAGCUAGAAUCUUUAACCUUUACCCGAGGAAGGGAAGAAUUGCUGUGGGUUCUGAUGCUGACAUCGUUAUUUGGGACCCAAAAGCUACAAGGACUAUAUCUGCAAAGACACAUCACCAUGCCAACAAUUUCAAUAUAUUUGAAGGAAUGAUCUGCCAUGGACUCCCAGUUGUGACAAUUUCAAGAGGCAAAGUGGUGUAUGAAGAUGGAGUUUUCAAUGUCACAGCAGGAGACGGAAAAUACAUUACACGUAAACCAUUCCCUGAAUAUGUCUACAAAAGACUCAAGCAGCGGGAUGAGGUUUGCCAGCCUGUCCCUGUUGAGCGAGCACCAUAUGGAGAAGUGGGCUCAGUCCAGUCCAGCAGGGGAGGAAAAUAGACGUAUCCCUAAAGCGUGGCUCUCCCAGGUGUCUAUCCCAAGUAUAACCCCCUUCUGGCUGUUGUGGGACAACUUUACCAUUGCACCGUGAGGCUGUCCUACCAUCUUACAGAGAAGAAAGAAAAACUAGAAAGAAGAGCCAGAUAAACAGCCACUCACAAAACACAGAGAGAGAGACACACACACACUAGUCAUACCAGAAGUGGAACUGAGAAGACAGAAAAGGUGUGUUAGUGACAUGUUACCACUGAGUACCAGUCCUUCACAGACCCUGCCAUCCAGCAUCUUAAAUGCCAAGAACUUUUUUUUGCAUAGAAAUCCAUUAAAAUAUAUAUUUGGGUAGUUCAUUGUUUUUUGCAUAUGAAAAUAAAAAGUUCUUCUCGCUA